UCUUUGCUAGUAUAUUGGUUUAGUACACGCGCCUGUCAUUUGCUCUGUGGCCGCGCGAAAGCUGGGUUCGACUCCCAGGCAGAGAG